AUCCCAUGCUAUGGACAUUUCCGCAGUAGCUCCUUGAACCUAUCCCAUGUCUCAAAAAGAGACUCCAAUUCCAUUUGCACAAACACAAAGAUAUCUCAUUCCUAAGCUU